AACGCACAUUGCGCCCGGCAGCAAUCUGCCGGGCAUGCCUGUCCGAGCGUCAUUUCUUCCCUCGAGCGCGGCUAGCCCUACGGGGCCUGCCGUCGCCCGGUGUUGGGGCUCUACGGGUGGGGCUCGUCCCCCCCGCAGUCCCCGAAAUGUAGUGGCGGUCCAGCCGCGGCGCCCCCUGCGUAGUAGAUCCUACAUCUCGCAUCGGGUCCCGGCGAAGGCCAGCCGUCGAACCUUUUUAUUUCAUGGUUUGACCUCGGAUCAGGUAGGGUUACCCGCUGAACUUAA
rnacentral:misc_RNA from 1 species